rnacentral:rRNA from 1 species
GAUGAACGCUGGCGGCGUGCCUAAUACAUGCAAGUCGAGCGAACAGACGAGGAGCUUGCUCCUCUGACGUUAGCGGCGGACGGGUGAGUAACACGUGGAUAACCUACCUAUAAGACUGGGAUAACUUCGGGAAACCGGAGCUAAUACCGGAUAAUAUAUUGAACCGCAUGGUUCAAUAGUGAAAGACGGUUUUGCUGUCACUUAUAGAUGGAUCCGCGCCGCAUUAGCUAGUUGGUAAGGUAACAGCUUACCAAGGCAACGAUGCGUAGCCGACCUGAGAGGGUGAUCGGCCACACUGGAACUGAGACACGGUACAGACUCCUACGGGAGGCAGCAGUAGGGAAUCGUCCGCAAUGGGCGAAAGCCUGACAGAGCAACGCCGCGUGAGUGAUGAAGGUCUUCGGAUCGUAAAACUCUGUUAUUAGGGAAGAACAAAUGUGUAAGUAACUAUGCACGUCUUGACGGUACCUAAUCAGAAAGCCACGGCUAACUACGUG